rnacentral:rRNA from 1 species
GUUUUCGACCCUCGGGUGACAAGGGAGACAGGUUGGUGCAUUGGUUGUCGUCAGCUCGUGUCGUGAGAUGUUGGUUAAGUCCCGCAACGAGCGCAACCCCUACGUUUAGUUGCUAACAGGUGAAGCUGAGCACUCUAGACGAACUGCCGUUGACAAAACGGAGGAAGGUGGGAUGACGUCAAAUCAUCAUGCCCUUAUGUUCUGGGCUACACACGUGCUACAAUGGCCGGUACAGGCGGAGGCGAAGCCGCGAGGCGGAGCAAAUCCGAAAAAGCCGGUCUCAGUUCGGAUUGCAGGCUGCAAUUCGCCUGCAUGAAGUCGGAAUCGCUAGUAAUCGCAGGUCAGCAUACUGCGGUGAAUACGUUCCCGGGCCUU